GGUAGUGGCUUACCAAGGCUUUGACGGGUAGCCGGCCUGAGAGGGUGACCGGCCACAUUGGGACUGAGAUACGGCCCAGACUCCUACGGGAGGCAGCAGUGGGGAAUAUUGCACAAUGGGCGGAAGCCUGAUGCAGCAACGCCGCGUGCGGGAUGACGGCCUUCGGGUUGUAAACCGCUUUCGCCUGUGACGAAGCGUGAGUGACGGUAAUGGGUAAAGAAGCACCGGCUAACUACGUGCCAGCAGCCGCGGUGAUACGUAGGGUGCGAGCGUUGUCCGGAUUUAUUGGGCGUAAAGGGCUCGUAGGUGGUUGAUCGCGUCGGAAGUGUAAUCUUGGGGCUUAACCCUGAGCGUGCUUUCGAUACGGGUUGACUUGAGGAAGGUAGGGGAGAAUGGAAUUCCUGGUGGAGCGGUGGAAUGCGCAGAUAUCAGGAGGAACACCAGUGGCGAAGGCGGUUCUCUGGGCCUUUCCUGACGCUGAGGAGCGAAAGCGUGGGGAGCGAACAGGCUUAGAUACCCUGGUAGUCCACGCUGUAAACGGUGGGUACUAGGUGUGGGGUCCAUUCCACGGGUUCCGUGCCGUAGCUAACGCUUUAAGUACCCCGCCUGGGGAGUACGGCCGCAAGGCUAAAACUCAAAGGAAUUGACGGGGCCCCGCACAAGCGGCGGAGCAUGCGGAUUAAUUCGAUGCAACGCGUAGAACCUUACCUGGGUUUGACAUGGAUCGGGAGUGCUCAGAGAUGGGUGUGCCUCUUUUGGGGUCGGUUCACAGGUGGUGCAUGGCUGUCGUCAGCUCGUGUCGUGAGAUGUUGGGUUAAGUCCCGCAACGAGCGCAACCCUUGUUCACUGUUGCCAGCACGUUAUGGUGGGGACUCAGUGGAGACCGCCGGGGUCAACUCGGAGGAAGGUGGGGAUGACGUCAAGUCAUCAUGCCCCUUAUGUCCAGGGCUUCACGCAUGCUACAAUGGCUGGUACAGAGAGUGGCGAGCCUGUGAGGGUGAGCGAAUCUCGGAAAGCCGGUCUCAGUUCGGAUUGGGGUCUGCAACUCGACCUCAUGAAGUCGGAGUCGCUAGUAAUCGCAGAUCAGCAACGCUGCGGUGAAUACGUUCCCGGGGCUUGUACACACCGCCCGUCAAGUCAUGAAAGUUGGUAACACCCGAAGCCGGUGGCCUAACCGUUGUGGGGGAGCCGUCGAAGGUGGGACUGGUGAUUAGGACUAAGUCGUAACAAGG
rnacentral:rRNA from 1 species